rnacentral:rRNA from 1 species
UACGUAGGGGGCGAGCGUUAUCCGGAAUUACUGGGCGUAAAGGGUUCGCAGGCGGCAUUGCAAGUCGGUGGUAAAAGGCGAAAGCUCAACUGUCUUAAGCAUCGGAAACUGUCAAGCUUGAGUGAAGGAGAGGCAAGUGGAAUUCCUAGUGUAGCGGUGGAAUGCGUAGAUAUUGGGAGGAAUACCAGUGGCGAAGGCGACUUUCUGGACUGCAACUGACGCUGAGGAACGAAAGCGUGGGUAGCAAACAGG